UUUAGGGUGGAGAGAUGUGGUGUUCAGGAUGAUCAGAUGUGGUGUUCAGGGAUGAGAGAUGUGGUGUUCAGGAUGAUCAGAUGUGGUGUUCAGGGUGGAGAGAUGUGGUGUUCAGGAUGGAGAGAUGUGGUGUUCAGGGUGGGGAGAUGUGGUGUUCAGGAUGAGAGAUGUGGUGUUCAGGAUGAUCAGAUGUGGUGUUCAGGGUGGAGAGAUGUGGAGUUCAGGAUGGAGAGAUGUGGUGUUCAGGAUGGAGAGAUGUGGUGUUUUUAGUGAAUGGUGGUGUUUGCUGGUGCAUGUACAAGAAUUGUGGUGUUUAUUUAUUUGUUUGGUUUUUAAGCGAAUGUUGUUGUUGGUACAUUUUGGAGAAUGUUUUUAGAGAAAGUCGGUGUUUGUUGGUACAUUUUGGAGAUUUUUUUAGAGAAUGCUGGUGGGUAUUUGGGUUUUAGAGAGCAGAAAACAGGAGGUCUUUGUAGAAAGAGCAAGAAUGGAGGCAAGGCCACCUCUGAGCAGUGUGUGUGUGUGUGUGUGUGUGUGUGUGUGUGUGUGUGUGUGUGUGUGUGUGUAUGCAGGAGGGUAAAAGUCGCUUUGAGCAGGAGAUUAUUGGUGCGCCACAAUUUACAAGAGAUGUGCCGUCAUUAGUUGUGUAGAACCAAACCACUGGGUAAAUCUGCCAUGAAAUACAAGACUGGAGCUGUAAAACCAGAGCAUGUGCAUCAAACUCGAACCAGAUGAGGAACACUGAAGGACACUGUGUGUGUAUGUGUGUGUGUGUGUGUGUGUCUGUCUGUCUGUGAAAGUGAAAAGCAAGAACAAGAAUGAGAGAGGGUUGCGUGUAAUUACAGCAUAAGUGUAUGUGUAUAAGUGUGUGUGUGUGUGUGUGUGUAUGUGUAUGUGUGUGUGUGUUACACUCUAUAAAAUAAUGGCUCUCAGAAGCACCCACAGGCCCACACGGAAACACUCGCCAAAAACAGCAGAAACAACAUAGUCUCUGGCUGAAGGCCACUGGUCCUGUGGGAUUAUGGGAUUGUGGAGGACACCCAUCAAACUGCCCCACCACACACACACACACACACACACACACACACACACCCCGUCAUGCAUACUCAUGUAUAACUCCUUUCAUACCACAGGAACUUUUUCAGGAUCUCAUGAACUUUUCCACCAGUUUUUGUUUCCUGUUCAGACACUGAUUUUAUUUGUAUUUUUUAAAUUUUAUUUCUGGUACUUUUCAUCCCUUGUGGGCGGAGCUUACAUCACUGAACAUCACUGAUAGGUCCAAAUCCAACUUCAGAGAACAAUUCUAAGAAGCCAACAGUGCAAAACAGCAUAUUCAUAAAAAUGUUGCUUUAUUUGUUUUUGAUUUUUCAAUAUAUACUGUGGGUUCUUCAGGAUAUUGUUGGGUUCCUGUGCUUGUUCUCAGUUUCUCUGUAGGUAAGUUGGUUCUCCAUUGUAUUGUUGGGUUCUACACAUAUAUCAUUGGGUUCUCCAGUACAUCACUGGGUUCUCAAGCAUGCUGUGUGGUUGUCCAGUAUAUCAAUGGUUUCCCAAAUGUGUUAUUUGAGUUGCCUAGUAUAUAAUUGGAAUCUCCUGUAUGUCACUGGGUUCUCCCAUAAAUCAUUGUAAUUGACAGAAUAUCACUGGUUCUCCAAAAUAUCACUGGCUUCCUAAUGACAUAAUUGAGUCAUUGGGUUUUCCAGUAUGGCACUGGGUUUCACAGUAUAGCAUUUGGGUUCUUCUGCAUUACCUUACAUUCCACAGUUAUCAGUUAUCUAGUUUGUUACUCGGUUCUCCAGUACAUCAUCCAUUACAUAUCAUUGGGUUGUCCUGAAAUGCUUUUGGUUCCUCACCAUUGGAUUUCUAUACAUAUUAUUGGGUUCUCCAGUAUACCAUUGGGUUUCUAUACAUAUUAUUGGGUUCUCCAGAGUACAAUUGCGUUUCUAUACAUAUUAUUGGGUUCUCCAGAAUACCAUUGGGUUUCUAUACAUAUUAUUGUGUUCUCCAGUAUAUCACUGGGUUUCUAUACAUAUUAUUGGGUUCUCCAGUAUAUCAUUGGGUUUCAAUACAUAUUAUUGGGUUCUCCAGAAUAUCAUUGGGUUUCUAUACAUAUUAAUGGGUUCUCCAGAAUAUCAUUGGGUUUCUAUACAUAUUAUUGGGUUCUCCAGAAUAUCAUUGUGUUUCUAUACAUAUUAUUGGGUUCUCCAGUAUACCAUUGGGUUUCUGAGCAUAUUAUUAGUUUCUCCAGUAUAACACUGGCUUUCCCAGUUCUCUUGCAUUACGAUGCAUUCUCCAGUUUUCCGGUAUGUUACUCGGUUCUCCAGUAAAUGUUUGGUUUCUGCAUUAUAUUAUUGAGUUCUCUGGCAUGUCCCUGAAGUUCUGUUGUGGUUCUGGUGUCUUGUUUCUGCUCCUCGGAAAAGGACAAGUGUGUUUUCUCUCCCUCUCAGCGAGACCACUUAUUUCCAGCCGGUGGUUCUUGUGUAACCUGUCAUUUGAUCGUUUUCAGGGCCUUGAGAGGUUUAAGAUCUUGUGCAGGACUAGCUGUGUUCUCGCUCUCUCUCUCUCUCUCUCUCUCUCUCUUUCUGUCUCUCUCUCUCUCUCUCUCUCUCUCUCUCUCUCUCUUUCUGUCUCUCUCUCUCUCUCUCUCUCUCUCUCUCUCUCUCUCUCACAUACACACACACAUGGAUAUCUGCAGGAUGUUGAUGAACCAGAUGCCACACAGAGUUCACUUCUCACACAUAUCUUUGGGUUCUCCUGCUUUCCCCUCAGUGUGUCAGUACAUAUUGUUUGGUUCUUCAGCACAACAUUUUAUUAUCUUAUCUAUGAUUGUGUUCUUUAGUGUAUCUUCAGUGAAUUCUGCUGUAUUUCUUGGGUUCUCCAUUAUCUCUGUAUUCUUUAGUGUAUCAUUAGAUUCUACAGUUUAUCAAUGGGUUAUCUUGCGUAUUCUUGGGUUUCUCUGUAUCUAAUUGGGUUCUCUGUCUUUUCCUUAAUUCCCCUAGUGUAUAGUAUAUUGUUGGGUUCUACCACAUAGGCACAAGGCUAUUUCAUUUUUUUGGGUUUCGUUUCCUUUACCUUACUGAAUUCUUCAGUAUACUGUUGGGUUCUACAAUGUAUUCAUUGUGUUAUCUGGUAUAUUGUUGGGCUUAUAUAUAUAUAUAUA
ensembl:lncRNA